AUUGAACGCUGGCGGCAGGCUUAACCCAUGCAAGUCGAACGAGUGGCGGACGGGUGAGUAAUUGUUGGGAAUCUAGCUUAUGUAGGGGGCUAACUACGGGAAACUGUAGCUAAUACCGCGUACCGUAGGAUGAGGCCCAGUGGGAUUAGGUAGUUGGUGAGGUAUAGGCUCACCAAGCCGACGAUCUCUAGCUGGUCUGCUAGGAUGACCAGCCACACUGGGACGGAGACACGGCCCAGACUCCGACGGGAGGCAGCAGUAGGGAAUAUUGCGCAAUGGGGGCAACCUGACCCAGCAAUGCCGCGUGAAUGAAGAAGGCCUUCGGGUUGUAAAGUUCUUUCGGUAGCGAGGCGUUAACUACAGAAGAAGCACCGGCUAACUCCGUGCCAGCCGCCGCGGUAAUAC
rnacentral:rRNA from 1 species